rnacentral:rRNA from 1 species
GACGAACGCUGGCGGUAUGCUUAACACAUGCAAGUCGAACGAGAAGUCUUUUAUUGAACCUUCGGGGGAUAUAAGAGACAGACAGUGGCGAACGGGUGAGUAACGCGUGGGCAACCUACCUAUCGGAGCGGGAUAGCCUCGAGAAAUCGGGAGUAAAACCGCAUAACACGGAUAUAUCGCAUGAUGAAUCCGUCAAAACUCCGGUGCCGAUAGAUGGGCCCGCGUCUGAUUAGCUAGUUGGUAAGGUAAGGGCUUACCAAGGCAACGAUCAGUAGCCGGUCUGAGAGGGCGAACGGCCACACUGGAACUGAGACACGGUCCAGACUCCUACGGGAGGCAGCAGUGGGGAAUAUUGCGCAAUGGGGGCAACCCCUGACGCAGCAAUACCGCGUGAGUGAAAGAAAGGUUUUUCGGAUUCGUAAAAGCUU